CAGCAGCCACGGUAAUACGUAGGUCCCGAGCGUUGUCCGGAUUUAUUGGGCGUAAAGCGAGCGCAGGCGGUUAGAUAAGUCUGAAGUUAAAGGCUGUGGCUUAACCAUAGUACGCUUUGGAAACUGUUUAACUUGAGUGCAAGAGGGGAGAGUGGAAUUCCAUGUGUAGCGGUGAAAUGCGUAGAUAUAUGGAGGAACACCGGUGGCAAAAGCGGCUCUCUGGCUUGUAACUGACGCUGAGGCUCGAAAGCGUGGGGAGCGAACAGGAUUAGAUACCCCAGUAGUCCCUGUCUCUUAUACA
rnacentral:rRNA from 1 species